AAUAAGGAAGAAAGACUCGUGGCCCUGACUAAGCCACCCAACAAUAGAAAGAAUGGCUGAGAAAGAGUCAGCAUCACCACAGCUCAUGGUUCCCAUUCUUCUCCUGGUUGGAUGGAUUGUAGGCUGCAUUAUAGUGGUUUACAUUGUCUUCUUCUAGAAAAGCAAGAAGACUUCAAACUGACACCAUUUAGAAGAAUUAAAAAAAAAUCAGGAACACGACUGAUCAUUAAAGGUGUCUUGUAUUAAA